CAAAUUAUCUUUUAUUUUUUAGACUGUUUAUAAUGUUUAUAAGAUGAGGUUGCUAGAUUAAUUUUUCUAUAAUAUAGAUUAUAUUUGAAGGCAUAGAAAAUAAAUAUAAUGUAGCCAUUUUAGUUUAUUUAUAAAUUGGACAAUGUUACCAUAUUUGUGUGUGUAUAAAAUAUAAGAUAAAUCUAAGAGAAAUGUUUGUGCUUACGGAUAACAAACAUCAUUGAAUUCUCAUUAAU
rnacentral:lncRNA from 1 species